GACGAACGCUGGCGGCGUGCCUAAUACAUGCAAGUAGAACGCUGAAGGAGGAGCUUGCUUCUCCGGAUGAGUUGCGAACGGGUGAGUAACGCGUAGGUAACCUGCCUGGUAGCGGGGGAUAACUAUUGGAAACGAUAGCUAAUACCGCAUAACAGUAGAUGUUGCAUGACAUUUGCUUAAAAGGUGCAAUUGCAUCACUACCAGAUGGACCUGCGUUGUAUUAGCUAGUUGGUGAGGUAACGGCUCACCAAGGCGACGAUACAUAGCCGACCUGAGAGGGGGAUCGGCCACACUGGGACUGGGACACGGCCCAGACUCCUACGGGAGGCAGCAGUAGGGAAUCUUCGGCAAUGGACGGAAGUCUGACCGGGCAACGCCGCGUGAGUGAAGAAGGUUUUCGGAUCGUAAAGCUCUGUUGUAAGAGAAGGACGAGUGUGAGAGUGGAAAGUUCACACUGUGACGGUAUCUUACCAGAAAGGGACGGCUAACUACGUG
rnacentral:rRNA from 1 species